UGGGGAAUAUUGGACAAUGGGCGAAAGCCUGAUCCAGCCAUGCCGCGUGUGUGAAGAAGGUCUUCGGAUUGUAAAGCACUUUAAGUUGGGAGGAAGGGCAGUAAGCGAAUACCUUGCUGUUUUGACGUUACCGACAGAAUAAGCACCGGCUAACUCUGUGCCAGCAGCCGCGGUAAUACAGAGGGUGCAAGCGUUAAUCGGAAUUACUGGGCGUAAAGCGCGCGUAGGUGGUUCGUUAAGUUGAAUGUGAAAGCCCCGGGCUCAACCUGGGAACUGCAUCCAAAACUGGCGAGCUAGAGUAGGGCAGAGGGUGGUGGAAUUUACUGUGUAGCGGUGAAAUGCGUAGAUAUAGGAAGGAACACCAGUGGCGAAGGCGACCACCUGGGAUCAUACUGACACUGAGGUGCGAAAGCGUGGGGAGCAAACAGG
rnacentral:rRNA from 1 species